rnacentral:rRNA from 1 species
UACGAAGGGGGCUAGCGUUGUUCGGAAUUACUGGGCGUAAAGCGCGCGUAGGCGGCUUUGUAAGUUAGAGGUGAAAGCCCGGGGCUCAACUCCGGAAUUGCCUUUAAGACUGCAUCGCUAGAAUUGUGGAGAGGUAAGUGGAAUUCCGAGUGUAGAGGUGAAAUUCGUAGAUAUUCGGAAGAACACCAGUGGCGAAGGCGACUUACUGGACACAUAUUGACGCUGAGGUGCGAAAGCGUGGGGAGCAAACAGG